rnacentral:lncRNA from 1 species
CGCUGCCCCUUCCCCACCUCUGCUUUCCCGGGUUAGACCAGAUCGGGGGUGAUGGGCAGGGUCGCGGAGAGGGGAGGGGCAGACAGUGGACGGGCAGGCGCCAGCGCCGUCUGAGGGGCACGCACUUCUGCUGUCAGGUGUGCGGACGGCGGCCGGGGCAGGCCGGCAGACACCGCCAUAUCCUCGGAUCUUAUGUUUUUAUUUUUAAGAAAAUGGAAGUCUGGACGGCGCUAUGAAACCUCACGUGGGCAGCUGAAUGGGGUCCCCGGUCGCCCUGUCCUGAGGAAACGAGCACAUCUCCCGACCAGCACACACCCCGGCAGCAGGACAGUGGUCAGCGAGGUCCGAGUUCCGAACAUGCCGUCCCAGGCGGAACCCCGAGAGCAGUUGCAUAUUUUGGGAGGAAGCCUGGAGUUCCUUCAACAGAGCAUGUCUUUGCCCCUUGAUGGGAAGAGCACGGCGCCAGGGCCGGGACGACACGUCCAUCCGCGGGCCUUCCAGCAGUCCUGCCCAGACACCCAGGAGAGCACUUUCUGCCAGAGCUGCUGACUUUUGCCAAUUUAUAUGCUAAUUCCAGAAAUGAUUCUUCCUGCAUUAAAUAAAAGCCGAAGA